UAUGUGAUCGUCUCUCGCAUAUCAAUAAGCGGAGGAAAAGAAACUAACAAGGAUUCCCCUAGUAACGGCGAGUGAAGCGGGAAGAGCUCAAAUUUGAAAUCUUAAAGGGUUUCCCUUUACGAAUUGUAGUUUAAAGAAGUGUUUUCUGUUGAGGUUUUGGUAAAAGUUCUUUGGAAUAGGACAUCAUAGAGGGUGAGAAUCCCGUAUUUGACCUUUACUUUCAACUUUGUGAUACACUUUCAAAGAGUCGGAUUGUUUGGGAAUGCAGUCCAAAAUGGGUGGUAAAUUUCAUCUAAAGCUAAAUAUUGGCGAGAGACCGAUAGCGAACAAGUACCGUGAGGGAAAGAUGAAAAGAACUUUGAAAAGAGAGUUAAACAGUACGUGAAAUUGUCAAAAGGGAAGCGUUUGACACCAGUGUUGUUUUUCUGAAAAUCAAUUAAAGAACUGUUUAUGCUAAGCUGUUUAGACUUUAUCAGCUAAUCUGUUUAGUUUUGAGCUUUUCUUUAAUGCACUUUUCAGUUAACAAGUCAACAUCAAUUUCUUUUGCUGUAAAAAAGCUUGAGGAAGGUGGCUUGAGAUUCGUCUUAAGUGUUUAUAGCCUCUUGCCUCUGCAGUCGGAGAGACUGAGGUCUGCAGCGUAGAUCCUUCGGGGCUAAAUGCAUUUGUGCUAAGUUAUAGCAUUUUAUAGACAACUUGUUGACUAUGACUUGUCUUGUAGCUUACUCGCUUAUGUUAUUUUACCUACGCUUAGGAUGUUGAGUCAUCACACAUCUCU
rnacentral:rRNA from 1 species